rnacentral:rRNA from 1 species
GUCUACGGCCAUACCACACUGAACACGCCCAAUCUCAUCUGAUCUCAGAGGCUAAGCAGACUAAGCAGGGAUGGGCCUGGUUACUACUUGGAUGGGAGAAAUACACCUAUAUACA